CCUACGGGUGGCAGCAGUAGGGAAUAUUGCACAAUGGGGGGAACCCUGAUCCAGCGACGCCGCGUGGGUGAAGAAGUUUUUCGGUAUGUAAACCCCUUUCGUCAGAGAAGAUAAUGACGGUACCUGACUAAUAAGCCCCGGCUAACUCCGUGCCAGCAGCCGCGGUAAUACGUAGGGUGCAAGCGUUACCCGGAUUCACUGGGUGUAAAGGGAGCGUAGGCGGGGGAGCAAGUCAGAUGUGAAAGGCCAGGGCCCAACCACAGGACUGCAUUGGAAACUGUUAAACUAGAGUAUAGGAGAGGUAGGUGGAAGUCCUGGUGUAGGGGUAAAAUGCGUAGAUAUCAGGAGGAAGACUCGUGGCGAAGGCGACUUACUAGAACGUAACUGACGUUGAGGCGCGAAAGCGUGGGGAGCAAACAGGAUUAGAUACCCGUGUAGUC
rnacentral:rRNA from 1 species